AUGGCUUGGGCUCUGCUCCUUGUCACCCUCCUCACUCAGGACACAGGAUCCUGGGCCCAGUCUGGCCCGACUCAGCCUCCCUCAGUGUCCGGGAAUCCGGGACAGACGGUCACCAUCUCUUGUACUGGAACCAGCAGUUAUGUCGGCUGGUACCAACAGCUCCCAGGCAUGGCCCCCAAAACCCUGAUUUAUGGUAACAAUUAUCGGCCUUCAGGGAUCCCUGGUCGCUUCACUGGCUCCAAGUCUGGCAACACGGCCUCCCUGACCAUCUCUGGGCUCCAGGCUGAGGACGAGGCCGUUUAUUACUGUAGUUCAAAUGCAGGUAGUUAUGCUGUGCACAGUGGACACAGCAAUGACAUCGGGAAAUAUAAUGCUGUUGGCUGGUACCAACUGCGCCCAGGCACAGCCUCCAAAACCCUGAUUUAUGAGGUGAAUAAACGGCCCUCAGGGAUCCCUGACCGCUUCUCUGGAUCCAAGUCUGGGAACACGGCCUCCCUGACCAUCCCUGAGCUCCAGAAAUUUCCCAGUUUUACCACUGAAACUGCCGUGUCCUGCCUGGACCUCAUUGUGGGGCAAAUCAGCGUGGAUGGUCACUGA